UGCAGUCGAUUCGAUUUACCUUCGGGUAUUGAGGAUGGCGGACGGGUGAGUAACGCGUAAGGAACUUGCCUCUUGGACUGGGACAACUGUUGGAAACGACAGCUAAUACCGGAUAUUAUGAGAUUCUCGCAUGAGAAACUUAUGAAAGCUAUAUGCGCCAAGAGAGAGCCUUGCGUUCCAUUAGCUAGUUGGUGGGGUAAUGGCCCGCCAAGGCGACGAUGGAUAGCCGGCCUGAAAGGGUGAACGGCCACAAGGGGACUGAGACACGGCCCUUACUCCUACGGGAGGCAGCAGUGGGGAAUAUUGGACAAUGGGCCACAAGCCUGAUCCGGCAUUCUGUGUGCACGAUGAAGGUCUUCGGAUUGUAAAGUGCUUUCAG
rnacentral:rRNA from 1 species